rnacentral:rRNA from 1 species
UACGAAGGGGGCUAGCGUUGUUCGGAAUUACUGGGCGUAAAGCGCGCGUAGGCGGCUUUGUAAGUUAGAGGUGAAAGCCCGGGGCUCAACUCCGGAAUUGCCUUUAAGACUGCAUCGCUAGAAUCCGGGAGAGGUGAGUGGAAUUCCGAGUGUAGAGGUGAAAUUCGUAGAUAUUCGGAAGAACACCAGUGGCGAAGGCGGCUCACUGGACCGGUAUUGACGCUGAGGUGCGAAAGCGUGGGGAGCAAACAGG